rnacentral:rRNA from 1 species
GACGGAGGGGGCAAGCGUUGUUCGGAAUUACUGGGCGUAAAGCGAGUGUAGGCGGUUUGGUAAGUCGGAUGUGAAAGCCCCGGGCUCAACCCGGGAAGUGCACUCGAUACUGCCAAGCUAGAGUAUCGGAGAGGUUGGUGGAAUUCUCGGUGUAGAGGUGAAAUUCGUAGAUAUCGAGAGGAACACCGGUGGCGAAGGCGGCCAACUGGACGAAUACUGACGCUGAGACUCGAAAGCGUGGGGAGCAAACAGG